UUUAGGGAGACCUUAUCCACUGCAUAUCGAAAGAUGUUUCGGCAUCAGGUAAGUAGAUAGCAGUAGGUCAUCUCAAGGUCGGUCAGAGUUUUAGUGUUAGCUUCCAAACGACUGGUCUAGGUAUACCAAAGACCAAUAUGGGCUAUUAGCUCAGGUGGUUAGAGCGCACCCCUGAUAAGGGUGAGGUCCCUGGUUCGAGUCCAGGAUGGCCCACCUUCAUUGCUAUGGGGGUUUAGCUCAGUUGGUAGAGCGCCUGCUUUGCAAGCAGGAUGUCAGCGGUUCGAGUCCGCUAACCUCCACUGAUUAUGAUGCAACAACUUCGGUAAUCAAUUUUUGAUUAAGAAGCCUGUUGGAUGCAUAGUCCAACCAGAACCAAGAAAACUGCAUAAGAGAUAAGUAGGUAGUAAUGCGAUUACUAGUUCUAUGAAAGUAGGAAUAGUAAGAGCGUCACAGACACCAAUGUAAGAAGCGUCAAAAGAAUUGAUGAAUUUGAGUGAACUUCUUAAGAGUUAUCAGUAGACAGUGAGCAGUUAUCAGUUUUAGAACUGACGACUAGGAACUGACAAUUGAGGACUYAGAGGAAGCAA
rnacentral:tRNA from 1 species